AUGAGACAAAUGUUUAGCCUGUCCAGAAUGUUCAGCUGGCACCAAUCGUUCACAAUCAGUGCUCCGUGGAAGAAAGGGAAGAACACCUCUGACAGCAAAGUGGUUUUGACAAACAUGAAGGUAAUAAGCAAUGAAAAAAGUGAAGGACUAGGGCAAUGUCCUCCCACCACUUCGGAGUCUCCAGCAAAACCUGGACCUUCUGAAUCUAGCACCCUGUUAGAUAUUCAGGCUACACCACAAACUCCAGAAGAAACUGAACACUUUGCCACAUGCUCUGGCAUGCCCACAAUAGCACUGAAAGAUCAGGUUCCAAGAUUAGACAAAUAUGAAUCAGAAGACUCUGCCGUGGUGUUGCCAGAAGGAGCCAACUUGCCAUCUACACUCCUGGGCUCUGGAAAGAACUUUGUUCUCCACAGCAGAGAUUCUUCUUGUGACUCUGGAGUUCUGAGUGCCUCAUCCUCUCCAGCAGCUGACCAUAUAAAAAUGGGCAAAGACCCUGUAGAAGCACGUCACUACGUUUCAGAUUGCAAGGAGCCAGCGGAGCUCUGCACGGGGCACUUUGGUGCAUUACAGAUGUCCGCCCUUUCCUUAGAUGAGGACACAGAUUGUCGAGAGGCAAAACAUUCUGAACAAUCUUUUUUUGGUGGCAGCCAAGGAGAAUGUUCACAGGACAAAAUCAGUGAAGAAGAGAUCCAUCCUUCUUGCUUUUCUACUUUGCCUGUAGAAGAGAAAAGCCUCCGUGACAAUUACAGAAACAACAGCUUGGAAGAACUGCCACUGCAAGGGCAUCCUUUAAGAAAGCAUUCCACAAGUGACAGCUUAGAUGAAUACAUGGAUGCAUGUUGUAGGCUGAGUAAGGUGAAUGAGGGGAAUACCAAAACCUACAGUUCCGGCCUAGGUUAUCUAGAGCAUAUCUGCCAACUUAUUGAAAAAAUUGGGCAGCUACAAGAACAAAAUCUGAAAUUACAGAAGGAAAUCUGCAGUUUACAAAAAGAGCAGAAAACAAACCAGCUCAAAGAGGAGUAUUUUCUACAGCAUUGCUCAUGCGGUGCUGCCAGCUUUUUGCUCAGCUCUUACCAAGAAGCCAAGAAUUCUUUUCCUGGGUGGAACACCAGACCACACAGCCUAUUGGCUCAGAAUGGAAUCAUAUCUGACCUCUCAGUUAUUCCAGAAACAGGAGGAAACAAUGAAAGAUCAAGCAAAAGUAAGGUUCCUUUUUUUCUGUGCUUUAUGCUUGCUAUGAAAUAA
ensembl:lncRNA uncharacterized LOC110087234